rnacentral:tRNA from 1 species
GAGCUGUCUAGGAUACUGAGAACUGCUAAUUCUUCAUGACCAUGGUUCAAUUCCAUGGCCUGCUCA